CCUCACCAGUGACUCCUUUCACUGAGGUAUGAUGGCUGGAAGGGCCAAGUGUUUCUUUUUCAGUUAGUCCAGUGACUUUGCAGCUUCAAACCUGGAGGGAAAUUUUCCCUAAGAGGAGUAAGUACCAAGUAUCUUCAAAUGCGGACGCAGUGUGACUUAAGCCACAAUUUCACAUCACAUACACUACACUCAAAUUUUCCAUCUUUCAUAGCACAUUAACAAAAUUAGGCAAACUGGAGGGCCGGGACCAAAAGAUGUUACAGAGCGCAUGGGAUUCUGACAGGGCAACAUUCAGGAAGUAGUGUUCUUUAGGAAACAAUUCUACUAAAAACAACAUGAGAGGGAAUAGAAGUCAUUUAAAAUAUCCAAGAUAUAUUAAAUGCAUGACUGUGAGUCCAAAUUGCCAUUUAGCAUGCUUUGUACGGCAGGACGUAAAACUAACCCCCACCCAGGGGAUGUCAGCUGACACCCGGGACAGUCAAAGCCUGCGAAAGUUCAAAUUGCCACUAUUUUCUGGUUGUAUCAAAAAAUUAACAACCAGCAAAUGAUUUCACUGCUAAAAAAAAAAAGAAGUGCAAUGAGGUAAGAUUCCCUCCUUUGUAAAAAUGUUCCCAGAGCUAUUGAAAAACUUGGAUUUGCAAAAUAAUUGAUGAAAACACUCCUCCUGAUUGCUCAAGGGAGACUGAUAAGGCGCAGUGUGUGAUUAAUCGGGCUUGGCGUCUUUCUCUUCUGCUUGUCAGAGGCUGCACUCUCCUCGGUUGAGUCUCCAUUUUCCGCAGGAGCAGGUUUAUCGGACAACCUCGCCACUUCCUCUUGGGCUCCACCGGCCGAGCUGACCUUCCUCUUGGGCAUCUUGGCGGCGCGGGGGCGUGCAGAAGCUGCGGUAGCUGCUCCCGCCAGAGCUGCCUUAGUGGCAAUUUUCUUAAAGGUGCAGGCUUUGUAGACUAUUCAGCCAUCUGCCUAAACCCAUUCAAAAGGCAUAGUCUGGCAACCCUAGUACUCCUGGGAGGGACGCCUUAGGAAGCUCCCCGCAGGAUCUGUGAAUGUCUACAACCAUGUAACUAUUCACUUUUACUAGCUGGUCAACGCUUUUGAAAUUUUUAAAUAUUUGGAAUUUAAUUUAUAAACUAUUAAAUGUUUAAUUUUUCAGGAAUAUAUUCUUGGUUUGGAAGUAGUCAACUGACAGUCUAAGUUUAAGCUUGCUUCAGGAAAAUGGCUUAAAAUACAGGUCCUCUUUGUAUAUCCUGAAAAGGGUUUUUGUCAGGAACCGGUGAUCAAAUUUGGAAAAAGUUCCUUGUGAAUUAUGAUAUGCUGUACAAGAGGAAAUCAUGGAUAUAACCAUUGACUGUACAGAGUGAGAGCUAUGGAUAAAGAUUCAUUCUUCGGCAUGGGGAUAACCAGUUUUCCCAGCAUCAUGUGUGAGGCCCACAGGCAUUGCUUUUCCUUGUGUGACAUGCGUCCAGGCGCCCAUAGUUGGGUUUGCAGCCUUACGUCCACCGUCCCUUUACAAGUGUGGCUUGGCCUUCAUGUCUGAAGGCCCUGAAACUACAGCAUGCACCCCUGUCCCGGAGCCAGGAGGUGAUCCACCGGAGCCCAGCAAAUGAAGAGGAAGGACGAAUUGGAGGAAGGGAAGUCGAUGUGCCAUUUUUACACCAAGGUACUGUCCUUUCCCAUGUUUGGGUCCAUCUUAUCUUUUCCUUGGUGGUUUUGAAUUAAAACAGAGAAUACUGAUUUGGUCCACUUUAGGAUCUCCAGAACAAUCCAGUGCGCGGCCACAAAACUUUGUUUCUUUGCAGUUAUUGACAUUGACUUAUUUUGAGUGCCCAUUCCCAGAAUCAGCCUGGUGUCACAGGGACGGGAAGGAGCACAGUCAACCUCUUCCUGAAGAUGGUGAAGCUGAGAGGUUGAUUCUUUUUUUUUGUUUUUGGUACGGGGAAUCGAACUCCUAACCUUGUG